AACCUGCCUUGGAGUGGGGAAUAACAGCUGGAAACAGCUGCUAAUACCGCAUAAUAUAUCUGGGCCGCAUGGCUCUGGAUAUCAAAGAUUUAUCGCUCUGAGAUGGACUCGCGUCUGAUUAGCUGGUUGGCGGGGUAACGGCCCACCAAGGCGACGAUCAGUAGCCGGACUGAGAGGUUGGCCGGCCACAUUGGGACUGAGACACGGCCCAGACUCCUACGGGAGGCAGCAG
rnacentral:rRNA from 1 species